GGCCGUGUAGCUCAGCUGGUAGAGUAUGCGCGUACAAAGCGCAAGCGGCGUUCAUGCAUUGGAUCGAAUCCCACCGAGGCUA
rnacentral:tRNA from 1 species